GGAGAGGUGGCCGAGCUGGCUGAAGGCACCACACUGCUAACGUGGCAGGGCUUAAUCGCUCUCGAGGGUUCGAAUCCCUCCCUCUCCG
rnacentral:tRNA from 1 species